GUUCGCGGAGAUUCGAUUGAGUUUGAUCCUGGCUCAGGAUGAACGCUGGCGGCAUGCCUAAUACAUGCAAGUCGAACGGGAGACCUUCGGGUCUCUAGUGGCGAACGGGUGAGUAACACGUAGGGAACCUGCCCGCGCACCGGGAAUACGCUCUGGAAACGGAGAACAAAUCCCGAUGUACAGGAAGGAGGCAUCUUCUUUCUGUGAAACAUCCUUUAGGGGAUGGGGCGCGGAUGGACCUGCGGUGCAUUAGUUGGUUGGCGGGGUAAAGGCCCACCAAGACGAUGAUGCAUAGCCGGCCUGAGAGGGCGGACGGCCACAUUGGGACUGAGACACGGCCCAGACUCCUGCGGGAGGCAGCAGUAGGGAAUUUUCGUCAAUGGGCGCAAGCCUGAACGAGCGAUGCCGCGUGAGUGAAGAAGGCCUUCGGGUCGUAAAGCUCUGUUGCGGGGGAAAAAAGGCAGCAUCAGGAAAUGGGUGCUGACUGAUGGUGCCCCGCCAGAAAGUCACGGCUAACUACGUGCCAGCAGCCGCGGUAAUACAUAGGGGGCAAGCGUUAUCCGGAAUUAUUGGGUGUAAAGGGUGCGUAGGCGGCGAGGCAAGUCAGGCGUGAAAUCUA
rnacentral:rRNA from 1 species